UGCUGAUUUCAGUUUAUUUCAGUACCCAUGAAAAUCAGCCUGAAGAGACUGACCAGGUGGAAAUUCUGAGCACAGUGAGACACAGGCAGUUAACAGCAGAUGAAAUGCUGUUUUUGCUGACCUCCAGUGGUGUACGUUCACACCUUAUCACAGGGAUGUAGACGUGAAUACAGCAUGGUUCAGUACAUGUCAGGAGUCAUACCAACAUACUGUAUUGUAAGUGAAAUUUUAAUUAUAAUUACAAAUCUCUUACAAGUUUUUCUUUUUGUCUGUACAGCCAUAUGAGCUGGUUGGUAAACGCGGAGCUGCUCUUCUCUACGUGAAGAUGUGUUAAUCAGUAAGCAGACUGUGGAAAAACAGUCAAGUAUGAUGACAUUAUGCUCUCGUUAAGUUGUAAAACUCAACCUGCAGUCAAUCAAGUCACUUCCUCACAUACCAGCAUUGAGCUCUGGGGUUCAUCGGUUCCUGAGGACUUUAAACGGGAGUCCGUGUCCUGGUAUGAUGACAUCAACAAUGCGUAGCGCCUCCUGGCGGCUGACCUCCUGAACUGAAGUGUUCAUACUCUGAUCGCGCCAGCUGUCCUCAUCUGAACAGCGCUCAAAUAAGUCCCCUGCAACAAGCACCGUGCCCGCUGAGGUUCCCUUCACCAGGACGCUGACAUCUUGUCCGGAGUGGCCUGGACUGGGAACUACAGACACCUGUGGGAGAGAGAAGACUGUGUAAAAACUGAAACUGUCAGGAGGCUGAGGGCUACGGAGUUCAGUCACAGUCUGACUCCUCUUUUUUCUUUUUUAAAGUCUCUUUUCCUCUAUGUAGUGUUACUUUUGCCAGCUAUUUUUAGAUUCAUUCUAAGUCCUAAGACCAAAAGUCCACGUUAGUUUUAGGCAGUCUAAUCCUUUUUAUUUUAAUUCGACUAAAACUCUACACAUUUUAAUACGAUCUGCAAAAAAAUGAAACUAAAAUCAUAAUGCCAUUGUUUUGACAGAUAUUGUGAUGAGUCACUAUUUUAGAGGGAAUGGUAAUUUUUGAAUUUAUUUUCACAAAAAACGAAAUUACAAUGUGAUUUCUGCUGGGGUCUGUGUUAUAAAGCAACAUACAUACUUGCUUUGUUGGUAUCGGACAUGAGAAAGUGCUAUUGAGCCAUCCUCAGGUUCCACAUGGCCCACAUAGCAGACAAAACUAGUAAUACAAUCACUGGAACAUCAGUUAAAGCUGGACAAAUGCCCAAUGGUGUUAAUUGUUAAUUAAAAUAAAUAAAGCAUUUCUAUUUGAAUUAAUAAAGAUGAUUUUAUGGCUCUG